rnacentral:lncRNA from 1 species
UGAAUAUGAAAACAUUAUUCCAUAUUUUAUGCAUUUAAUAAAGGUUAAGUAUUUAUUUAAAUACCUUAAUGAUUAGGCAUUAAACAAAUACCUAAGUUUUUAUUAUUUUUCCUAUGGUACAAGAAUUUUAAUGCAUAUAGGAAAAUAAAACAAUCCUAACAAAAUUGGUUUCACUAAUUUUGGACACUCCUAGAAAUUUCUGUUAUUUAAAUGGUGAUAUACAAAUUUAAUCUAUUAUUCUAACAAAAGAAAAUCUAAAAUUUAUCCCAAAACCCCCGGCCCAACUUUUCUCACUCGCUCCCUCUCUACCCUCUCUCACUCGUGCUGGGCCCGCAGGUCGGGUCCACCUUCUCCUCCU